UGGCCAUACAUCUUGCAGGGAAAUUUCCCCCAAGAAGAAUCCUGCUUGGGCCAGCUCUGUGACCGAGUGGUUAAGUUCUCGCGCUCCACUUCUGCGGCCCAGGGUUUCACCGGUUCAGAUCCUGGGCGCGGACAUGGCACCACUCAUCAGGCCACGUUGAGGCCACGUCCCACAUGCCACAACUAGAGGGACCCACAACUAAAAUAUACAACUAUAUACUGGGGGGAUUUGGGGAGAAAAAAGCAGAAAAAAAAAGAUUGGCAACAGUUGUUAGCUCGGGUGCCAAACUUUUUUUUUAAAAAAAGAAGGAUCCUGCUUAAUCUACCUAAUAUAGUUAAAAAUAAUUAAAUCUUAAACUCAUCAAGUCAUCUUAGAGAUGAGGAAACAGUGCCACAGAAGUUAAGUGAUUUGCAGGUGGUGACAUUGAUGGUAAGCAUGAAGUGACACUUUUAUUUUGUAACCCUUCACCUGAAGCACUUUGAACUUCACCACUCUUAUCUUUUACUACCAAUCUCCAAGACUUCAGCUUCCUUACCAAAAUCCCAUACCACCAAAGUUUCCCAUGCUUCUAAAUUUAAAAAAAAAAAAUGUUCUGCAAUUUAAGCCAAUUUUUCCUUGGUAUUCUCUUUGGUGAGACUAGAAAACAGCCAGUCAGUAAGUAUAUUAUUGUAAAAACCUUUCACAUGCUUGAAGUCCAGUGAACCAUAUGACCAAGUUCUUUAAUAUUUUCUUUGUUAGUAUUAUUUCCAAGCCUUUGGGCUACUCUAUCCCGGACUGGUACAUAUUCUCUACAUCUCUCAAGGCUAUGCAAUCCAAAGUAUGACAUACAGCCAUCCCGCGGUCUCCUCAGUGAUUGGUUACAGGACUCCCGCGGAUACCAAAAUCCCCAGCUGUUCAAGUCCCUUAGCCCACCGCAUCCGAGGGUUAAGCAUCCGCGGAUUCAACCAACUGUGGAUGCGGAACCCACGGCAUGGAGAGCCAACUUUGCUGUCCUAAUAGAGGGUAAUUCACAGAAUGAAGCAACUGUUGAUUUUGAAGAUGUCAAAAGUUGGAGCCAGAAAGAUAAGGUGACAAUAAAGAUCACACUGAACUAG
rnacentral:lncRNA from 1 species